CCCGGUUUCUGCAAAGUGGAGCGGGGGUGGGGCGGGGUAGCGGAACUCAUGCGCUGGGCGUCAGAAACCCGGCAGGGGAAUGGGGUCCCAGAUUCCGGGCACGUGCACAUGGGUGAAGAAGCGGUUGAAAAUACAGCUACAAUCUUUUUCUGUUCUCCUCCCAACUCAUCUUGCCCCCUCCCUACCUCUGAACAGUCGCCUUCCAACACAAGCAACAAUAAAGUUUAGUCUACGGUUCUCAGAGCUGCCGGAAGGGAAGAAUCAAUGGAUGAUAAAAUAACUAGAAAAUGAUGGGUAGGAGUGAUGGAAGUUCACCCCCAUCACCAUCACCACCACCACAUGCCUAAUACAACCUGCAGACACACUUACUCGCAACAGACCUGCAAUCUGGGCUCUCUUUCCUUCUUGAUGGAGGCCUCAAAACCUCAGCAGUUGUACCCAUUAAACUAAAAUGCUUUUUCCCUCUUAGUGUUCCUUGGUUUCCCGUGUGUACUUUCCUUCCAAAGAGUUGCGAAUGCAUUUGCAUCCCCAUAGUUCUGCAGUCGGUGAACCCUGGAAUUUUGAUGGACUCCCAUGGGGGUGCUGGAUGCCACAGGAACUUUUUACA
rnacentral:antisense_RNA from 1 species